CAAGGAGUCUGACAUGUGUGCGAGUCAACGGGCGAGUAAACCCGUAAGGCGUAAAGAAGCUGAUUGGUGGGAUCCCCCUGAGGGGUGCACCGCCGACUAACCUUGAUCUUCUGUGAAGGGUUUGAGUGUGAGCAUACCUGUUGGGACCCGAAAGAUGAUGAACUAUGCCUGAGCGGGGCGAAGCCAGAGGAAGCAGAACUGGCGAUGCGGGAUGAACCGAAAGCCGGGUUACGGUGCCAAACUGCACGCUAACCUAGAUCCCACAAAGGGUGUUGGUCUAUUAAGAUAGCAGGACGGUGGUCGUGGAAGUCGAAAUCCGCUAAGGAGUGUGUAGCAACUCACCUGCCGAAUCGACUAGCCCCGAAAAUGGAUGACGCUUAAGCGUGCGACCUACACUCGNGGCCAUGCUCAUGCGACGCCGGCGUCAAUGAGGAAUGCUACCUGGUUGAUCCUGCCAGUAGUCAUAUGCUUG
rnacentral:ncRNA from 1 species